rnacentral:lncRNA from 1 species
GGCUCACCUCAGGGUCCGCGGCGGCGGCGGGGCUGCCGCUGCCUUCGGACUCGUUCACCAACGAGGACUUGAGGUCGGCCAGAUCGCGCUCGGUGAAGGCGUUCUCGGGGAUCUUCUCCUCCUGCUCGCCCUCGUCCUUGAAGGCCAGCAUCUCGUCGGUGGCCCCCAGGUCGUCCCCUCCGCCGCUGCCCAGCUGCGGCAUGUCGGUCCCGCCGCGCCCUCCCGCGCCGCGCACAACUUUCCCGCAGUAUUGUUCUCACCACGAGCCCUCCUCGCGUCCGUCUGCGCCUAGAUGAUCCUCUUGUUUUGCAUGUGAAAAAAAUCGUCUGAGAUUUACAGCCCUCCCAAACGGAGAUAAAGCCUUGGCAAUGAGUUGGAAACCUGUUGUAAUCUGUGAUCCAGGAAACAAAGAGCCUCAUUAAUGCAGAGACUUUGGUGAGCCUUUGAUGUUAGCUAGCAUAGCAUUCACUCUCGGUUCCAUUUGCAUUUAAACAUUCAUAAAAACAUCAUCUCUGCUUCCUUUGCCUUAAGCAAUUUAGGAGUAAAGUAUAGCUUCUAUUUAAAGAAACCCACUGUGGUGAGGUUCAGAAUACAAAUAUCACAUAAUCUUCAAGCAGAGCAAAUAUUUUAUCCUACAUUUCUGGUGGGCACGUUUAAUAAUGCUACAUUUAAGACCCAAAAUAAAAGAUCUGUCUUAUUUUCAUUAACCUUACACCACACAUUCGAGAGAAAAGAGAAAAGGGGCCCGGUUCAUCCUAAAUAUGCUACAUGCCAGUUUGGGGAAGGAAGGGAAUGCGGAGGAUUUGACAUCAUUCACAGGAGCUGCAUUUUUACGGGCAGGAUGCCUCCAGCAAGGUGCCCAAAUCCCUGCUCAGACACACAGCGAUGGAAAUUUCAGAACAACUUUGUAUGGGUUUGAUUUUUUUUAACGCGUGCAGUUUUCUGAACUGUGGAAUCGUCGUCCUGGGUUAUAGCUAAAGUGAGAAUAAAAGCACAACGC